AGCCAUGCGAGUCGAGAGGGUUCGGCCCUCGGCUGACGGCUCAGUAACACGUGGUUAAUCUGCCCUAAGGUGGAGGAUACUCUCGGGAAACUGAGAAUAAUACUCCAUAGGCCUAGGAUGCUGGAAUGCACUUAGGCUCAAAGCUCCGGCGCCCUAGGAUGAGUCUGCGGACUAUCAGGUUGUAGUCAGGGUAAAGACCUGACUAGCCUACGACGGAUACGGGUUGUGAGAGCAAUAACCCGGAGAUGAUAUCUGAGACACGAUAUCAGGCCCUACGGGGCGCAGCAGGCGCGAAAACUUCACAAUGUGCGAAAGCACGAUGAGGGAAUCCCAAGUGCUUGCUCGUAAGAGCAAGCUGUUUCUAUGUUUAAAACGCAUAGAGAGUAAGAGCUGGGUAAGACGGGUGCCAGCCGCCGCGGUAAUACCUGCAGCUCGAGUGGUGGCCGCUAUUAUUGGGCCUAAAACGUCCGUAGCCGGUUUAAUAAAUGCCUGGGUAAAUCGUGUAGCUUAACUAUACGAAUUCCGGGUAGACUGUUAAACUUGAGACCGGGAGAAGCUAGAGGUACUCCUGGGGUAGAGGUGAAAUUCUGUAAUCCUAGGGGGACCACCAGUGGCGAAGGCGUCUGGCCAGAACGGGUCUGACGGUGAGGGACGAAGCCCUGGGGCGCAAACCGGAUUAGAUACCCGGGUAGUCCAGGGUGUAAACGCUG
rnacentral:rRNA from 1 species